AUUCAACCCUGUUUAAAAGGGGAGGGAAGCGCAAAGUUGUAUCUGCUUUCAAAGGCCUGCUCACUGAAGAGGGGCUAAGAACUGCUUUUGUGAAAGGCAUAGAUUCGUGGAAACAGUUGCUGUUGAGGCAAAAUCCCAUACUCCACGAGAUAAGCUUUUUCUUUGUUGUUUUUUGCAAGAAUUGCAUAAGGGGUGUAUUCUGAGCAGAGUUCUUCCCACCACAUACAGCCUCUUUUCCCAUGACAUAUGUCUGUACACAGGUAGCUUUGCACAAGCGCUCAUGAGAAGAUUGGUUCGUGUGAUUGCAUGGUGCUACAGAGGGUGUGGUUUCAGGGGGCGUGAAGGUACUGCUUUUGUGCAUGCCUGGAGUACAAUUGCCUGCUUGGCCACCUGACCCUUGAUGACCCAGGGCUGGGCUGAUUGACCUGCCCUUCCCUGUGAGGCUUCUCUUCAUCCACUUUUAGGGAGCAUGGGUGAUACCCCCGAGACAAGGCACAAGGGAACCUGGAUGUUGUCUUGGAGACACGGCGCAGUGAUUGAUCUCAUAUCUAUCUGGGAGGGAAAGGAAGUCCUCAGCAGACUUUGUGGGAGCCACCGCAACAUCAGAACAUAUUGCUAAAAAAAUGUGCGCAAAGGGACACAAGAGGACAGCGCUGGAGUGCAGGACGAAGAUGCCUCCAUCUUGAUGCCCAUCACAGAAUGCGAAGUUGGUGAGGAAAUUACUGAAGUUAUCACUUUUUGGAAGGAUGCAUCAGGGUGUGCUUGCUUACCUCUCUCUGCAUCAGUGAAGCUUGCCUCCCGCUGCUCAAAAUGGAGAUCUACAGCCUCCUGGACAUGCCUCCCUAGAUCUGAAAAUGACAAGCAGAGCAUAAGCAGUUAUAUCGUGGUGUGGUUGGGGGUGGGAAAGGAAUGUGGUAUCGUGCUGCAACAUACUUUGCUCGAUGGCAGCAACAUGAGCCUCCAUGGCCUUGAGCCGUGGCCACCACUCCACCUGAACUGAGAAGGAAAGAGCACAAUUCUGAGUCACAUGCAUUUCGCACACAUGCAAGGGGGGGAACACGCGAGGCAACAUGCGGGAGGAGUGGUUCUAAGCAUAUCACACACACAAACACACACACACACACACCCCAUUCUCUAGGGCAGCAAAUCGCUCCUCCAUGUUCUGCAGCCCGAACAGGCACUCCUGGAGUUGUCCCACUCCAGCCUAUUCCAGCUGCCCCCCAGGAGGACCUGCCAAAAAAUUUAAAAAGGACAUGAAGAUAUGAAGCAUCCACAAGGAAAGGUUGAGAACACACACACACACACACACACACACACACACACACACACACACACACACACACCUCUGCCAUGGCACAGCACCCACCCACCCCAAAGCACAAAAAACUCAUAACCCUUAACAUAUCCUACCAUACCCUAUCAUUCAUUAUGGAUAAGCUUUAUUUCCCAUGUGGAACCAGAGUUGGCCCUUGCUGCAGACGCCAUUGUACCCAUACGGGAGCCUCACUGGGUUGGUGACCCUCUCCCAGUCACUCAUCUCUGUGCCCAACCUACCUCACAGGGUUGCUUGGAGUAUAACAGUCACCAUACACAUCUCAUGGCUCCUGGGAGGAAGAGCUGGAUACAAAAUCUUGAAGACACCACUAAAAUUUGUCAACCUACCUGGCAAUGACACCUCAGAGAUCUCUCUCUUCAAUCUCCUGCUUUUGCUCCACCUCCUGCCCCUGCCCCUCCUCUGUGUGGGGUGCCAGCCCUGCACCCCCCUCUGCUGCUGCACAUCUGUGGAGGAUAGAGACAAUGCAGAUAAUGCUCCCUGCACAUCAGAGCACUAGAGGAAAGGAGUAGGGUAUGUGUGCUGAUGAAGCACAAGACUGCAAUUGUCAGCAAACUGGAGGCAUUCUAUAUGAAACGUAUUUAUUUAUUAUUUAUUUUUCAUGUUUCUGUACUGCCUGAUACAUACAUCUCUAGGCAGUGUGCAAUAGAUAUUCCCACUAGAAACUACAAACGUUUUUUAAAGCAAAUUCUUUUCCAAAUGCACACACACACACAUUUAUUUACUUAAUUUUAAUCAACAUAUUUUUGAGAUGCCCACAAAUGGCAUCUCUGGGUGGUUUGCAGUAUACAUAUUAAUAGACAAGUAAUAUAGUAUUGCCAAUAGGAAGCUCAAUUAUUAUAAUGUGUCCUGAGUAUACUGAAUACAUGGAAAACAUAGAAAUGGAAGGGUAUGAAAUCCCGCAACCAAUAUUUAAAUCUCAGUUUCUACAAAAACAAGAAUUAAAUUCAGGCUUGGUUGAUCUUU